GGAUUUCAGAAAAUAUAAUUUUAAAACAAAUUAUACCUAUUUUUCUCAAUAACACAUGGCUACAGUGAAAGACUUCCAUUUAUUGACGGAGUCUUGCUCUGUCACCCAGGCUGGAGUGCAGUGGUACAAUCUAGGCUCACUGCCAGCCUCUGCCUCCUGGGUUCCAGUUGUUCUUCUGCCUCAGCCUCCUGGAUAGCUGGGAUUACAGAUCACUUUUUGGCCUUUGGCUGAGAUCAAGAGCGCUACCUGAAGAUGAAAGAUGAAAGGAGCUGAUUUGCAGAUUCUCUCCCUAUACAUUUUUGUUGUAUUGAAUUUCAGUUUCAUUUUAUUCUCUCAUCUUUCAUGGAAUGUUACAACUACCUAAAUUAUAGACUAAUAUAGAAGCUUUUGAGCAAAAGGGUGUAUGUGCUCUGAAGGUCAACAUUUUAAACGAUCUUAAAACAUAAUUGUUUUAGAACGGGCACUUGUCCGGGUCCCACUGAAUGACUCUUUUUACGGCAUCACAUUCAAUACGGAUUCUGUCAAAGGAAAACCAACUCAUUCUCAAGAUGAAAUUCAUCCUUUGCAUAUUAUGUACCAACGAUAUCACUCAUCCAGUGCCAAUUAUGGAAAAAUAGGUUUCAACAUAGAGUGGCUUAUA
rnacentral:lncRNA from 1 species